ACCCAAAGACUUUCAGCUGGCGGGGUAAAAGCACUCUGUAGACUGAAACCAACAGGAGAGAAAAAGAAGAAAAAAGAAAUCCUGCUCAUGCAGAGGAGUUAAGUGUUCUCCUUUGUUGCCUUAACACCUGCCAUGUCCUCGGAUCUCACCUUCUAAUCCAAGCAGUGCAUCAAGGGUUUCUUCCUGGCCUAUUUGAGCUUGAACGCUCUCUGGGCUCAGGUCACAUGAAGACAUUAUCAUCACCUCAUUGUUCAAAGCACCUGAUCGUAGAACCUGGCGGGUGAACAAUUGCUGAAUGACAAACGCCGUAAGCACUGGCCUGCCUUGCCUAAUUAUACAGCUGUCAUAGUGCACUGGGCAAUUUUUCUUUCCAACGUCUCCUCCCCUCUGCCCAGCUUCAAACCACAUAGUAAAGAGAAGAAUCCACAGAGCUCUGCAUUCGGGCUUUCAGAGCAACCACAAUGCAAUCAAAGUAUCAGGCUGCAGGAGCGGCAGAAACCAUUUCUAGAGUGUGGUUGACCCAUAUGUUGCACUUGAGUUGUCAUGUGGGUCAGACCAGGGUGCUGCUCAUUGGGGCCACAUGUGAAAAUGAUGAUGACUCAGGCUCCCUGGCUCACUUGUUCUGAUGUCUCGGCUCCUAACUUUGUCUUCUGGCUCUUUAAAUUGGCAGAAAGGACACUGUGGAUCCUUAAGGUCCAUCACAGAGCCGAGGUGGUGGUGUUCACAUAUGAAAAUCAAGCCCUCAGCUUUCCGGGAUGUUGUCAGGAUCAGCAAAGGACUAGAUAAUAUGACAAGAGUGCAAGAAGUAUAAAUCAAGAGAAGGAGAACUAUUAGCCAUAAAUUUAACCUAUAUUGUGAAACUUUAUCAUUUGCUCUCAUUGGGAAUCAUCGUAAACAUCUUAUGAUGCUAAGAGCAAAAUCUUAAUAAGUCCUUAGAACUGUGUGCGGCAUAAAAAGGCCAUUGCAGAUGGGUUAUGCUAUGAGGUUGAAGCUUAUCAGAAUCUAUGAACUCUAGUAAAAAGUGGCCAAAGGAUAGUAGACAGACUUUACAUUUCUCUCGUUCAUGGCUGGCUGUUGGUGCUCACCUCAGAGAUUUGGUGGUAGAAGAUAAGACUGGUGAUAGUAUUUGCCUCCUGAC
rnacentral:lncRNA from 1 species